rnacentral:rRNA from 1 species
CGGAUUGUAAACUCCUGUUAAGUGUGAAAAAAGAGUCGUCUUUAAUAGAGACGAAAGAUGAUGGUAACACUAGAGAAAGCACCGGCUAACUUCGUGC